rnacentral:rRNA from 1 species
UACGUAGGGAGCGAGCGUUGUCCGGAAUCACUGGGCGUAAAGGGUGCGUAGGCGGUCAUUUAAGUCAGAUGUGAAAUACCCGGGCUUAACUUGGGGGGUGCAUCUGAUACUGGGUGACUUGAGUACAGGAGAGGAAAGUGGAAUUCCUAGUGUAGCGGUGAAAUGCAUAGAUAUUAGGAGGAACACCAGUGGCGAAGGCGGCUUUCUGGACUGUAACUGACGCUGAGGCACGAAAGCGUGGGGAGCAAAC